AUUGAACGCUGGCGGCAGGCCUAACACAUGCAAGUCGAGCGGAGCGGCGGACGGGUGAGUAAUGUCUAGGAAUCUGCCUGGUAGCGGGGGAUAACGUCCGGUAACGGGCGCUAAUACUGCAUCCUCUCAGAUGCGGCUAGGCCGGAUUAGCUAGUUGGUGGGGUAAAGGCCUACCAAGGCGACGAUCCGUAACUGGUCUGAGAGGAUGAUCAGUCACACUGGAACUGAGACACGGUCCAGACUCCUACGGGAGGCAGCAGUGGGGAAUAUUGGACAAUGGGCGAAAGCCUGAUCCAGCCAUGCCGCGUGUGUGAAGAAGGUCUUCGGAUUGUAAAGCACUUUAAGUUGGGAGGCGUUACCAACAGAAUAAGCACCGGCUAACUUCGUGCCAGCAGCCGCGGUAAUAC
rnacentral:rRNA from 1 species